rnacentral:rRNA from 1 species
AUUCCUUGACAUCCGGAGAAUUUGCAAGAGAUUGUUUAGUGCCUUCGGGAACUUCGUGAC